GCAGAAGUGGUGGAAUGGCAGACACGCUAGCUUGAGGGGCUAGUGGGCGCUUAAGCCCGUGCGGGUUCAAAUCCCGCCUUCUGCACCA
rnacentral:tRNA from 1 species